rnacentral:rRNA from 1 species
GACGAACGCUGGCGGCGUGCUUAACACAUGCAAGUCGAACGGAAAGGCCCUGCUUUUGUGGGGUGCUCGUGUGGCGAACGGGUGAGUAACACGUGAGUAACCUGCCCUUGACUUUGGGAUAACUUCAGGAAACUGGGGCUAAUACCGGAUAGGAGCUCCUGCUGCAUGGUGGGGGUUGGAAAGUUUCGGCGGUUGGGGAUGGACUCGCGGCUUAUCAGCUUGUUGGUGGGGUAGUGGCUUACCAAGGCUUUGACGGGUAGCCGGCCUGAGAGGGUGACCGGCCACAUUGGGACUGAGAUACGGCCCGAACUACUACGGGGGGCAGCAGUGGGGAAUAUUGCACAAUGGGCGGAAGCCUGAUGCAGCAACGCCGCGUGCGGGAUGACGGCCUUCGGGUUGGAAACCGCUUUCGCCUGUGACGAAGCGUGAGUGACGGUAAUGGGUAAAGAAGCACCGGCUAACUACGUG